CCUACGGGAGGCAGCAGUGAGGAAUAUUGGUCAAUGGACGCAAGUCUGAACCAGCCAUACCGCGUGCAGGAAGAAGGCUCUCUGAUUUGUAAACUUCUUUUGUACGGGAGUAAAUACCUCUACGUGUCUCUGUUUGCAUGUACCCUACGAAUAAGGAUCGGCUAACUCCGUGCCAGCAGCCGCGGUAAUACGGAGGAUUCGAGCGUUAUCCGGAUUUAUUGGGUUUAAAGGGUGCGUAGGCGGUUCUAUAAGUUAGCGGUGAAAGCCCGGGGCUCAACCCUGGCAGUGCCGUUGAUACUGGCAGGCUAGAGUGUAGUUGAGGUAGGCGGAAUGCGUGGUGUAGCGGUGAAAUGCAUAGAGAUCAUGCAGAACACCGAUUGCGAAGGCAGCUUACCAAACUAUAACUGACGCUGAGGCACGAAAGCGUGGGGAGCAAACAGGAUUAGAUACCCCAGUAGUC
rnacentral:rRNA from 1 species